GAGCGGUAUCCAUAUCUGCACAAGCAACCACCACCAAGAAGAGUGCACCUUGCAAGUAGUCCUUUCGCACAGCCAAUAUACACCCCCACGCUCCCACAUACCUUUGAUCGCCGCUUUCUGUAUCUUUCUCUCUCUUGCCGUACUGCGCUCUCCCCGCGGCGGAGACGCUUCGGCCUUCUCCGUUUGUACUUCAGCCAUUGCGACAUCAAAGCCCUCCUGCCCUCGCGCUCUUUCGUUCACCUUGCACACCAACUGCGCACGAGCCCUCCGUGCGCUCAACAAGGCGGACGUCGGCUCUCCCCCGCACUCCUCAGCUGACCUCUCGUGGCUUCUUCUUCGCCUUUUAGAUAGUCCAUUCCCCAACCUCUUUGCUCUCGCGUAGUGCUCUGUACUGGUGCUCACUGUCUGUUUGCGGCCUGCCUCUCCCUCCAUAUCCGUCUCAUCAUCCACCCUCUCUCUCUCCGCUGUCAAGUACGUUCGUGGUCCAUCUCUUCGCCUGUUCAUCCCUCCGUCCUUUGCUCGCCUUUCUACUCGCGUUUUGGGUUUUUUUCCGCUGCUUUCUUUUUUUUUUUCAACUCCACUCAGCUGUGUGCGUGCCUCUGUCUAUCUUUCUGCACACCUGCCGGUGCCCGUGUGCUUCAUCCGCUGAUUGGCGGCUUAAUUCUCGGGCGUGCUGCCAACAUUGCCACGUCGACUCCUUCAUACGUGCUUUUGCUUUCCUUGUCCUUUCGCACCGGAUUCAGCCGUCUCUUGGUACAUACGCACCCAACUGGACUCACAACGUGACGGCAACUGCAGGGGGGAGAAGGAAAAGCACACGCAAAGCCAAAGGGUCCUGGCUCACGUCUCCGUUUUCCAAGACGUCGCGGUGCUGUUUAGCACUGAAGUAGGUGAGGCCUUCAUUGGCGCUUACAAAUACGCCGUCACUCACACUCGCCUGCGACAGACGCCGAGCGCGUCCAUUGCGGUAGCUCCAGCGUCGCCUCUUCUUUUUUUUUCCCCAUUCUUUCUUUCGUGUUGUGACCGGCUUACCUUUCUCCUCGAAUUCUCCGUUGAUCACCGCCCCCACCCCCCUCUCUCUCACCCUCUUUGCUUUUCCGCCCGUCGCAUCCCUCAGCUGGUUAGCCGCCUUUUUGCUAGUCGCCACAGGGGGCUUUGCUUGCACGUCCGCAUCUUCUUGGCAUCUCCUGCGCUGGAGGUUGCGCGUUUGCGCGUGUGGCGGUUGCUCUCUGUGUGGUAGCGAAGCCAUGAGGCGGCCAGCGAGCGCCACACCAGCCCGCAGCGCGGUGUCAGUGGCAUUCCGCGAUGAAAGUCUUGCAAAGACGACCCCGCCGAGUGCUACAUGGAACGACCGCUCCCCCAGCUCCAAUGGCAGUCGUUGGGCAACGGAAUCUCAACUCGCUAUUUGCAAGAAUCCGUCAUUCCCCAUUCAGCAGACCGCCCCCAAGCCGUACCUGGCUGCGUGCGCAGAAAUCACGCCGAAGGGUCGCAACUGGAAUGCCGAGUUUCAACUUGCCUGGGAGAUGGAGAACGACAGCAUCGAGCAAGCGGAGCUUCGGAUGCGCAUUCUUCAUCAGAUUGAGCGCGACUUCGAGGGGGAGGCGGCAGGCACAAUUGUCAAGAUCGUGCGGUUAGAGAAAGACAUGCCGGCGGAGCUGCUCAACUUCGUGCAGUGCUUCAGGGUGCGCAACAUUUUUUUUCGUAUUCUGCCCGACAGUCGUUCUGGCCGAAACUACAUCGCUUCUUUGCGAGGGAUUCUGCAGAGCGACAGCCACCUCCUCUCGGUGCCGCUCUCCACCAUGUUCUACUACCGCGGCAUGCCGGUGCUAGCCCAGGCGCUAGUGCCCAUGACGAAGCGACCGAAGCGGCUUUACGGGGCGAAUUCCACCAACGAUGUCGAGGUCGAGGCUGAGCUUGCCUUUAUCGCGGAGGCGCUCCAUAUUCCGCUCCCCGACACCGGCAUAGAGGUCUACGAGGCGCUGGAUGGGCGCUACUACGUCACCAACUCGAACGCAACGCUGACGCCGCUGUUUGUGGAUGACACGAUCAUGAAGCGCCAGGAAAUGUUGCGGGUGUGCCCCGAGGUGGUCGAGGGCGCCGACAACACGAUGGAGGUGCUGGACGAUAGGGCCCUCCAGGAAACUGUUCUCCAAGUAUGUUGCAGAUCCACCUCCGCGGCUGCUUCUACUACCCUCACUCAGGUAUGUGAAUCCCUCCACGCCCGCGGUGUUAACUUGUGCCUUCUCAAGCAGGUAGCGCACCGGCUGCUGUUUGCCGGACACUACGACAUGCGUGCGGUGGAACAGACGGUGCAGUUGCUUGCGUGCGAGAUGAUCUGCCGCGCAGUAAAGCAGGAGUUCUACAUCGAGAUUCAAGGUAAACGCAUGGCCUACGACGAGCUUUUUCUGACGCGCACCCUCUCCAAAUACUUUGCAUUGGUGUUCGCUCCCUCGCCGCAGUUCCGCGGCAAAUUCCUUGACGUGGUCUCGAAAAAGUACGGCAUCACAGCCGAGGAUGAAGACCUCAUCGACGUGCUCGUCUCCUUCAGGACAGAGUGGAAACAGCGCAUCAUGGACCGCGUGUGCCACCUACUCGGCGCCACGAUUCGCAAAGAGAACGGCGCCAUGCAGGUGACGUGGAGACCCUUCGCAAACUCGUCGGUAAUUCCACGAUUGGUGGACCCGGCGGUAGCAAUACAAUUGGCAGCGGUGUACAACCGCGUGCGCACGGACCCGCCACACUGGUACGCGUUCUGCCUGCCUCUGCGCUGGAAGGUGGCGUGCUGGCAGCGCAACUUUGCCGAAGCACUUAGCCUCGUGUGCGAGGACGCAGCCGCGCAGGAGGAGCGCACCGGUCCGCAGCAGCUCAUCCGCUUUAUGAUGGAGCGCUCGGUCUGCCACGUGUCUUUUCAAACGCAUGACUGGCACUGCAUCCAGGACGGGCGGUCGCGCUUCCCUGCAGUACUGGCAGGGUACGAGCAAUGGGCUAGCCGCAAGACCCAGGGGCGCCGCUGUAUCGAGUACGGCUUUUGGCUCGUCGACGUGGCAGAGGCGCUGAUGGAGGCGCCGGCAAAGCUGCGCAGCUGCGUUGAGGAGGCCGUGCACUACUUUUACAGUGCCAUCGCGCGCAUGCCAGCUUAUUUGCGCAGCGAGCACGGAGCGUGGCUGCACCUGCAGCCGUACAUGGGUCUUCUUCGCUGCAAGAAGCUGCUGCCCUCGUGCUCCGUUGAUACACACGCUCUUGUGCAGCAUUCAGUGGAGCUGAGCAAGGUGGGCUGGGCCUCCGAUUUCUUCAUCAACUAUCUGAGUGAGUUGGGCCGGCAACUGGAGUACGAAGGGAACUUUGCAGACGCCAUUCAGGUGCUACUGACGGCAAUCUCGCUGUCGAAGGAAAAGCCCACAUUUGCGCCCGAUUUGCAUACGCUUCUCGCCGACGCUGCCCAUGUCUACCGAUCCUGGGAUCUUCGCACGCACGCCGAUGCAUGCCUUGAGCUCACGAAUGAGGCCGUCCGCUACGCCGCCAAGUACUACGGCGUAGAAAGUCGUGAGUACGGUGUUGCCCUCAACAACCGUGGCUCUAUCGAAAUCGAACUGGGCUGGCUCGGCCGCGCUGAGGAGACGCUGCGCAACGCUGGGGCCGCCUUGAACGCUGCGGGUGUUCCACACGGAGACCCAGACUACAUCGCCUACGCGCGCAACCUCGAGACGCUGUGGCGGCGGCGGCACCCGAGCCAGCCACGGCCCACCCAUCUCCCCAGAUUUCUGCGCCGCUUUCCUUUCUUGGAGUCCGCCUGCGAAGGCGUCCCAUGGGACGAUGUUCGGCCUAUCGAGGACGGCCGCUUUUCAGAGCUGGCGCGAAACCGUGCGCAGGAGGCUGAGGGGACCAAGGAGGCAUACCGUCUGGAGGCCGAUAUGAAGCAGCGGGUCGGUGAGAUAUUCCGAGUUCUCUUGUCCGGCGCGACGCUCAAGCAGUACCCAUUCCUACCAGCGAAGCUGGAAGGGGUGUACGUGGAAGGUCUUGCACUCAUGUACGACCGAAUUUUCCUUGAGUUGGCGACGCAGUGGAACCAUACGCCGGCGGCAUCUCCAGCCCGCCACCUGCAAGAGCGUCGCAUGAUUGCAUACGCAUCGGUCAAGGCCCGGCGCACGGCAGACCGCCGCGCCUACGAGCAUCACGUAGAGGACACAUUCCUGGAGCUUUUCGGCACAUCCGUGAAUGCACUGCUUCCUGUGGAUUUCUCUGAGGUGGUGGAAGAUGCUGAGGUACAGUCACUGAUGAACGAGUACGAGCGAUUGAAGGCACACCGCGCACCUACGGCGGAGUUGGAAGAGGCGCAGGCACGCAUUGGCCAACGUGUAGACGCCUUUGAGUCGGAGCAGUGGGGCUGGCGCCGAUCGAUCUCGGCUUGGGUGCCGGAGAGAUUGCUGCACUCCUGCUUCCUGCGCGACUUUUCUCGCGAUGGCGCCCUCCGUGACUUGCUGACCGCGCGCCAACACGCCACACACACCGGAGAGAUUGUGAUGCCACAGGACAUUCUGGAGGCUCGCAUCGAAGCCCUGUGCAUGUCCAUCUGGGAACGUGGGCAGCUCGAUCGCCUGUACUGCCGCUCUGAAUCCCACCAGCUGCAGCAACGCUACCGUCUGUCCUCGCCUCGUCUGCAUCUCCAGCCCCUCAGCGCCAUCUUUGAAGAUCUGCUCGAGCCGUGGAGUGCGAGCCUGCACGCCUCAACCGACCCAGACGACCGGGAUCGUAUGGUUGCCGCGGUGCAUCGGCGCGGAAGGCUCAACGCUGAUGCUGAAUAUCUCGAGCAGUGGUAUCCGUGCCUCCGUGGGACGCAGUGCCCAACAUGGAUGCUGGUGGGUCUGCCUCACCGCUUCGAUGCGGCAUACCAACGUGAGCAACUGCAGUGGCAAACGAGCGACGGCAGCAACAGUGCUGUGGCACUGGUACGCCUUCGCCAAUACCUGGCCUUCAUCCACACCCGCGCCCACAAGGCUCGCGUUGGUGUGAUGCGGGGCCGUAUCCGAGCUGAAGCGAUGUACCCCUUUCUGCGUUUGCGCUACGGCGGUGUACAUGUUCUGGAUUUGGCUCUGGGCGAAGAUCGCAUCUUUUGUGAGCACUACGCCGAAUACACGAGGCUGUCCAGCGAGCCGAAGCUAUCUGCAGGGCGGCUGAAAUCCUGCGAAGAGAGUAUGAAGGCACGCGCGGCGGUUUUGGCGCAGCAGCUGCGCAAACGAGAGGCAGCACUACAGCACCGUUUCGGCAGCUACCUAAGCAGCGGCGAUGCCCCUCUGCAGUGGUCGAGCACCUUUAUCGAGUACACUCCACGUGUCCUGCUGUGUGAGAAGUACUAUCUCGCUCACAGCAAAGAGGUUGCGGGCUCAAAAGCGGCGCGCGACUCUGCACGCUGCGCCCACAGAGUUCGCAGGUACAUACGGCACAUGUCACAGGACCAGUUCCAGCGGCGCCUAAUACACGGGAGCUACGGCGAAGAAAUCGCUGAGCGUUACCCGUAUCUAUCGCUCAUGCCUAUCGCCUCCGUUUCGCUGUCCACGCUUCCUUUUGAGUGCCGCCACGAGUUCCGAAUGCUGCACGCAACGCUUUUCGCGCCCCUGCGCGACACCCAAGAGACCAUGGAGGGCAACACGAAAAGAAGAAACGAAGCAACGACGGUGCCAGCAUCGCCUCUUUCCGCAUCUCUUCGCUCUUAUCGGCCGGAGUCCGUUGCGACCAAGACACGCCAGCUGAUGCGUAUUGUAGAGGAGAUGGCUCAGGAAGAGUUCGAUGCUCAGGCGCAGUUGCUGAAGGCGUUCCCCGGUAUUCCUCACGCGGUUCUCGGGGUUCCGACGACGCAGCUGGUGCUUCCGCCCAACUUUGAGCAGCAGUGGUCGAGAGCGGCAAAGGAGGGGUUCAAUGGCCCUUCCACACCAGAAGUGUACUCAGCUUUGGUGGAGUGCGCUACGUUCGCUCGUGCCCUCCCACUCGCAAGGCAAUACCUCGACGAGCUGGCUCUUGCAUCGCAACCGUUUCUCCUUUACACAACGCGCCAGUGCGUCUCUCUCCGUCACUUGCCCCUCCGCGACGAUGGACGGUACUCUGCACUGUUCGAAAAGUAUGGUGCGCUAUUAGAGCGGAGCCCACCAACGUCACCGGAGUGCUCUCUUCAGCGCGUGCGCCUGGCGGCUCGCGCAGACCAACUGGCGCUCCGGGCCACUCGACAGUGGGACCGCCUCCUCCGUCAGUUCCCUCAGCCCCCUGCCUUGAGCGAUGACCAGCUCGUCCACCUCCAAAAGCAUCCGGCUAUGCUUCGAACUGCGCAGCAAGCGUCUGACGCGGCGAUAGACCCACAUACAACUCAAGCCAUCCUAGAGGAGCUUGAAAAUCAGCAGCGGCAAGAUACAGAAAGGGCCAUCGCAAACGGCGAGCUCUACACCGACCUAUCCUUUCUUCACUCAUCAACCGAACCACAAGACGUGACUGAAAAUUCAACACUUCUCCGAUCCCACGACACCGCCAAGCGAAGCCUCCACACCCCGUCGCAACUGGACAACCACGACCCUCACAACGAAAACGAAAUACAUGACGACACAAUAGACGUCAACGAAGAAGCGCCAUCCUCCAUAAUACACCCAGCUAACGAGUUCCACCAUGAGAACCACGCAAAAACACAGGUGGCACGCACAGCAACACCGCCUGAAUAUGAAGCCUCCGUCAGACUCACCUCCACCUACCCGUUCCUACGGCUGCACGAGGAGGAGGAGUGGGCGGAAGCGCUUGUGGCGGACGAGGCGUUCCAGGGUCUUGCUGCGGAGCACGCGGACCUGGUGUGCGAUCCAGAGAAGAACGCCGCCGCGCUGCGCGCUGUGGAGGACGCGAUGAACGAGCGCGGCGACGCCGUUGCGGCCGCGCUGCGGCGCGCUGCUGCGAUGGACGAGCUGGCGUCGCGCUACCCGUUCCUACGGCUGCACGAGGAGGAGGGGUGGGCGGAAGCGCUUGGGGCGGACGAGGCGUUCCAGCGUCUUGCUGCGGAGCACGCGGACCUGGUGUGCGAUCCAGAGAAGAACGCCGCCGCGCUGCGCGCUGUGGAGGACGCGAUGAACGAGCGCGGCGACGCCGUUGCGGCCGCGCUGCGGCGCGCUGCUGCGAUGGACGAGCUGGCGUCGCGCUACCCGUUCCUACGGCUGCACGAGGAGGAGGGGUGGGCGGAAGCGCUUGGGGCGGACGAGGCGUUCCAGCGUCUUGCUGCGGAGUACGCGGACCUGGUGUGCGAUCCAGAGAAGAACGCCGCCGCGCUGCGCGCUGUGGAGGACGCGAUGAACGAGCGCGGCGACGCCGUUGCGGCCGCGCUGCGGCGCGCUGCUGCGAUGGACGAGCUGGCGUCGCGCUACCCGUUCCUACGGCUGCACGAGGAGGAGGGGUGGGCGGAAGCGCUUGGGGCGGACGAGGCGUUCCAGCGUCUUGCUGCGGAGUACGCGGACCUGGUGUGCGAUCCAGAGAAGAACGCCGCCGCGCUGCGCGCUGUGGAGGACGCGAUGAACGAGCGCGGCGACGCCGUUGCGGCCGCGCUGCGGCGCGCUGCUGCGAUGGACGAGCUGGCGUCGCGCUACCCGUUCCUACGGCUGCACGAGGAGGAGGGGUGGGCGGAAGCGCUUGUGGCGGACGAGGCGUUCCAGCGUCUUGCUGCGGAGUACGCGGACCUGGUGUGUGAUCCGAGGAAGAACGCCGCCGCGCUGCGCGCUGUGGAGGACGCGAUGAACGAGCGCGGCGACGCCGUUGCGGCCGCGCUGCGGCGCGCUGCUGCGAUGGACGAGCUGGCGUCGCGCUACCCGUUCCUACGGCUGCACGAGGAGGAGGGGUGGGCGGAAGCGCUUGUGGCGGACGAGGCGUUCCAGCGUCUUGCUGCGGAGUACGCGGACCUGGUGUGUGAUCCGAGGAAGAACGCCGCCGCGCUGCGCGCUGUGGAGGACGCGAUGAACGAGCGCGGCGACGCCGUUGCGGCCGCGCUGCGGCGCGCUGCUGCGAUGGACGAGCUGGCGUCGCGCUACCCGUUCCUACGGCUGCACGAGGAGGAGGGGUGGGCGGAAGCGCUUGGGGCGGACGAGGCGUUCCAGGGUCUUGCUGCGGAGUACGCGGACCUGGUGUGUGAUCCGAGGAAGAACGCCGCCGCGCUGCGCGCUGUGGAGGACGCGAUGAACGAGCGCGGCGACGCCGUUGCGGCCGCGCUGCGGCGCGCUGCUGCGAUGGACGAGCUGGCGUCGCGCUACCCGUUCCUACGGCUGCACGAGGAGGAGGGGUGGGCGGAAGCGCUUGGGGCGGACGAGGCGUUCCAGGGUCUUGCUGCGGAGUACGCGGACCUGGUGUGUGAUCCGAGGAAGAACGCCGCCGCGCUGCGCGCUGUGGAGGACGCGAUGAACGAGCGCGGCGACGCCGUUGCGGCCGCGCUGCGGCGCGCUGCUGCGAUGGACGAGCUGGCGUCGCGCUACCCGUUCCUACGGCUGCACGAGGAGGGGGGGUGGGCGGAAGCGCUUGUGGCGGACGAGGCGUUCCAGCGUCUUGCUGCGGAGCACGCGGACCUGGUGUGCGAUCCAGAGAAGAACGCCGCCGCGCUGCGCGCUGUGGAGGACGCGAUGAACGAGCGCGGCGACGCCGUUGCGGCCGCGCUGCGGCGCGCUGCUGCGAUGGACAAGCUGGCGUCGCGCUACCCGUUCCUACGGCUGCACGAGGAGGAGGGGUGGGCGGAAGCGCUUGUGGCGGACGAGGCGUUCCAGCGUCUUGCUGCGGAGCACGCGGACCUGGUGUGCGAUCCAGAGAAGAACGCCGCCGCGCUGCGCGCUGUGGAGGACGCGAUGAACGAGCGCGGCGACGCCGUUGCGGCCGCGCUGCGGCGCGCUGCUGCGAUGGACGAGCUGGCGUCGCGCUACCCGUUCCUACGGCUGCACGAGGAGGAGGGGUGGGCGGAAGCGCUUGGGGCGGACGAGGCGUUCCAGGGUCUUGCUGCGGAGUACGCGGACCUGGUGUGUGAUCCGAGGAAGAACGCCGCCGCGCUGCGCGCUGUGGAGGACGCGAUGAACGAGCGCGGCGACGCCGUUGCGGCCGCGCUGCGGCGCGCUGCUGCGAUGGACGAGCUGGCGUCGCGCUACCCGUUCCUACGGCUGCACGAGGAGGAGGGGUGGGCGGAAGCGCUUGGGGCGGACGAGGCGUUCCAGCGUCUUGCUGCGGAGCACGCGGACCUGGUGUGCGAUCCAGAGAAGAACGCCGCCGCGCUGCGCGCUGUGGAGGACGCGAUGAACGAGCGCGGCGACGCCGUUGCGGCCGCGCUGCGGCGCGCUGCUGCGAUGGACGAGCUGGCGUCGCGCUACCCGUUCCUACGGCUGCACGAGGAGGAGGGGUGGGCGGAAGCGCUUGGGGCGGACGAGGCGUUCCAGCGUCUUGCUGCGGAGCACGCGGACCUGGUGUGCGAUCCAGAGAAGAACGCCGCCGCGCUGCGCGCUGUGGAGGACGCGAUGAACGAGCGCGGCGACGCCGUUGCGGCCGCGCUGCGGCGCGCUGCUGCGAUGGACGAGCUGGCGUCGCGCUACCCGUUCCUACGGCUGCACGAGGAGGAGGGGUGGGCGGAAGCGCUUGGGGCGGACGAGGCGUUCCAGGGUCUUGCUGCGGAGUACGCGGACCUGGUGUGUGAUCCGAGGAAGAACGCCGCCGCGCUGCGCGCUGUGGAGGACGCGAUGAACGAGCGCGGCGACGCCGUUGCGGCCGCGCUGCGGCGCGCUGCUGCGAUGGACGAGCUGGCGUCGCGCUACCCGUUCCUACGGCUGCACGAGGAGGAGGGGUGGGCGGAAGCGCUUGGGGCGGACGAGGCGUUCCAGGGUCUUGCUGCGGAGCACGCGGACCUGGUGUGCGAUCCAGAGAAGAACGCCGCCGCGCUGCGCGCUGUGGAGGACGCGAUGAACGAGCGCGGCGACGCCGUUGCGGCCGCGCUGCGGCGCGCUGCUGCGAUGGACGAGCUGGCGUCGCGCUACCCGUUCCUACGGCUGCACGAGGAGGAGGGGUGGGCGGAAGCGCUUGGGGCGGACGAGGCGUUCCAGGGUCUUGCUGCGGAGUACGCGGACCUGGUGUGUGAUCCGAGGAAGAACGCCGCCGCGCUGCGCGCUGUGGAGGACGCGAUGAACGAGCGCGGCGACGCCGUUGCGGCCGCGCUGCGGCGCGCUGCUGCGAUGGACGAGCUGGCGUCGCGCUACCCGUUCCUACGGCUGCACGAGGAGGAGGGGUGGGCGGAAGCGCUUGGGGCGGACGAGGCGUUCCAGCGUCUUGCUGCGGAGCACGCGGACCUGGUGUGCGAUCCAGAGAAGAACGCCGCCGCGCUGCGCGCUGUGGAGGACGCGAUGAACGAGCGCGGCGACGCCGUUGCGGCCGCGCUGCGGCGCGCUGCUGCGAUGGACGAGCUGGCGUCGCGCUACCCGUUCCUACGGCUGCACGAGGAGGAGGGGUGGGCGGAAGCGCUUGGGGCGGACGAGGCGUUCCAGGGUCUUGCUGCGGAGUACGCGGACCUGGUGUGUGAUCCGAGGAAGAACGCCGCCGCGCUGCGCGCUGUGGAGGACGCGAUGAACGAGCGCGGCGACGCCGUUGCGGCCGCGCUGCGGCGCGCUGCUGCGAUGGACGAGCUGGCGUCGCGCUACCCGUUCCUACGGCUGCACGAGGAGGAGGGGUGGGCGGAAGCGCUUGGGGCGGACGAGGCGUUCCAGCGUCUUGCUGCGGAGCACGCGGACCUGGUGUGCGAUCCAGAGAAGAACGCCGCCGCGCUGCGCGCUGUGGAGGACGCGAUGAACGAGCGCGGCGACGCCGUUGCGGCCGCGCUGCGGCGCGCUGCUGCGAUGGACGAGCUGGCGUCGCGCUACCCGUUCCUACGGCUGCACGAGGAGGAGGGGUGGGCGGAAGCGCUUGUGGCGGACGAGGCGUUCCAGGGUCUUGCUGCGGAGUACGCGGACCUGGUGUGUGAUCCGAGGAAGAACGCCGCCGCGCUGCGCGCUGUGGAGGACGCGAUGAACGAGCGCGGCGACGCCGUUGCGGCCGCGCUGCGGCGCGCUGCUGCGAUGGACGAGCUGGCGUCGCGCUACCCGUUCCUACGGCUGCACGAGGAGGAGGGGUGGGCGGAAGCGCUUGUGGCGGACGAGGCGUUCCAGCGUCUUGCUGCGGAGUACGCGGACCUGGUGUGCGAUCCAGAGAAGAACGCCGCCGCGCUGCGCGCUGUGGAGGACGCGAUGAACGAGCGGGGUAAAUGGCUUGACGUGCUCCUCUCUGAGAAAGGCUUUUGUGAGCUUUUGGAGGGUGUGAUUGCCGAGGAAACUGCCUCUCGCAGCACUAUCACACAGUUGGAGGGAGACGGACGUGGAGGCAUGUCUUUUGCUGCUUUGGUUGAAACGGAAUGUUUUGAGAGAAAUCGGAUAAAGUCCGAGGAAGUGGAGAGGUUGUCGAGUCUUCACGGCGUUUUGUGCUUGGCGCGCUCUGCAGUCUCCGAGGCUAUGCGGGCGCGUUUCGAGAAGGAAUUCGCAGACUGUGUAGAGGAGGAGGCAGCAGGUCGAAAGUCUGUGCAGCUGGAGGCGCAUGCUAGCCGCGUUUCAGUGGCUCUAGAGUUCGCGCAGAAAGAGGAGGAGGCCAUGCGCUGUGCCAUCGACGAUGUGGAGGAGUCUGCUGCACUGGAACUUGCUGACGCUGCGUUGCAGGAUCAUGAUGCGGCAGUCGAGCACAUGCGCUUGCGCCUACACCGGGCGCUUGCGGACUGCGUGGCAAUGGAGGGCGAUGCGCGUGGCCAAGUCGCAGCUGAUGAGGAUGCAGCUCGCUUCAGUUUAGCCGCGCCUUUUCUCACGUCCGAGGAAGCUCUGCAACGGGGAGAGAUCCAGUCGGGGGAGCAGCAGUUGGCGAUGCAGCUCGCUAUGCGAGAGAAUCGUGAGCGCGGGGUCGUUCUGCGCAAGAUGCAUUCGCGACUGACUGCAUUCAUCGAGUCUUGUAUGGAGAAGGAAGCGGAGUCACGAAGUGCGCUGGAGUUGUUGGAGACGAGGACGCGCGAGACUCUCUCAGAGGAUGCGAAGAAAAACACAGAGGUGCUUUCAUUAUUCGCUUCACGGAAAAACUCUCUGUUCCAAAACGAGGUGCUCGCCCGUGAGGGUGUUGAGUUGGAUGAAAAGGGCAUGCGUGAGUCCCUGAAAGGCGAGUGGCAGCUGCUACGGGAGAGCGUGGCAUCGAACCACCCGGGGGCGACGGAGUCCUGCAAUACUCACGCGAAACUCGAAGCUACCGAGGUAUUGCUGCCGAUGGAAGAGAAUUCGUCCGACAUUGCCCUGUCGCCUGAACAGUCAGUUGCCCUUUUGCAGCGAGUGGGUCGGGGCCGCCUCUUGCGAAAGAAGCUGCAGAGGCGUUUGGAGAAUCGGCGCCGUGAUAUCCUCAAGCAGGGUGUGAGCCAUAUUCUCGCGGAGGAGUUUACGGGCAGACGCACUAUUGUGGGCAAUGAGUACUUGCAGCGGCAAGGCUUGCGCGAUCACUACGAUCGUGCGGUUCCCAUGACACACUAUGAUGAUCCUGUUGAUGCGGCGCUGCAGCAGCUGAUGAUAACUGAGGAGUCUGAGCGCGACAAUAUCCUCAGCGACUACAUUCUCGCCCGUGGUGCCAUUGAGCGGGCAGAGCACAAGCAGUUUCUCAAACAGAAAGCGCUUCUGUGGGUCUCUGGGGCACCUGAGUCCUCGGAUGACGAGGAGGUGGCCGAUCUGCACUUGUCAGACUACCAAGGUACUGAGAGCACUCUGACAGCUGGCAGCCGGAAAAACCGCUCUAGAACUCGAUACAAGGGAUUCGAACUUGACGCACUCGGUCGCUUCUUGCUCGACUACGAGAAGGACAUCAACCAAAUGCAGACAACGCUGGCCGACUUCCGCCGCUCUGUAGCCAUCGUGCACGACCAACUAAAGGAUGCCCGGGAUCGCGCGGCGCAGGAGAUUGUGCGCGGUGGGACAGGCGCUAUUUGGGUGCCUGCGCGUCCGCUCCCCCUCGCAGAUCUUGUGAGGGGCCCCAACACUCAGUACGAGGGUAAGCGAGCUCAUCGAGCACUGUAGACGACAGCUGCUUUCCUCUUGUCCCGUUCAAAUAGCCGAGGUGACAAAACUUGCUGUGCUUCUGCACCCAUUGGGGUGUGAGAGGACACUUUCAUGUUUUGCAAUGCAUCCGCGAUCCCCUCCGCUGACCCACUGCCGGCGAUUAUUUUUUCCUCGUCUCUCUGCAUCAUCGUAUCUCUGUUACCACCUUCUUUCAUCCCUUUUGCGGUUACUUCCAUGACGGCGUCCUCUUCUCGCGGUUGUAAUCUGCAAUUUGCAGCUCCUUUUUUUUCUCUAGCAUAUGCGCGAAUCCCUGCAUGCGCACGGCCAUGCCUGUCUUUGCCUGCCACUGUUGCAUGUGCUCAUUGAUGCACCGACCCGCGGGGCUCAUGCUGUUCUCUUACGUUUCGAUUUGCUCACAUAAUUGUCCUUCGCUCGUUGUACAGAGAUGCGACUACAUGUACACAUGCACAGCCACACAAAAAGAAUUAAUCCGCGAUCGUUUAUGCGACUCGAGGCAAUUGCAAAUCGGUUUCGCAAAACGGCACGAACGAAGCUCACCCGGUUCUGUGUGAUGUGAGCGCUUUGUAACUGCCCUGGUCUGCACGUGGCGUUUGAAUCUCUUCAUUUUUUGCGUGGCCCUGGUGCGUAUCAUCUCUCACCCCCUCUAUCCACUAUAACUGCCUGCCCCAUGUGUGCAGUUGGGCGCUGCCACUGCCAUAACCUUUGCCUCUGUUCCACAAAUACUGUUUUCUCUUGCCCCCUCCCCGUCCGCUUUACUGUCUCGACUGCAAG
rnacentral:misc_RNA from 1 species